rnacentral:tRNA from 1 species
GACCGUGUGGUGGAAUUGGUAGACACGCUAGUUUACCAAACUAGUGCUUAGGCGUACGGGUUCGAGUCCCGUCAUGAAUU